rnacentral:rRNA from 1 species
AUUGAACGCUAGCGGGAUGCUUUACACAUGCAAGUCGAACGGCAGCGCGGACUUCGGUCUGGCGGCGAGUGGCGAACGGGUGAGUAAUGUAUCGGAACGUGCCCAGUCGGGGGGGAUAACUACGCGAAAGCGUAGCUAAUACCGCAUACGCCCUACGGGGGAAAGCAGGGGAUCGUAAGACCUUGCACUAUUGGGGCGGCCGAUAUCGGAUUAGCUAGUUGGUGAGGUAACGGCUCACCAAGGCGACGAUCCGUAGCUGGUUUGAGAGGACGACCAGCCACACUGGGACUGAGACACGGCCCAGACUCCUACGGGAGGCAGCAGUGGGGAAUUUUGGACAAAGGGGGCAACCCUGAUCCAGCCAUCCCGCGUGUGCGAUGAAGGCCUUCGGGUUGUAAAGCACUUUUGGCAGGAAAGAAACGUCGCGGGCUAAUACCCCGUGGAACUGACGGUACCUGCAGAGUAAGCACCGGCUAACUACGUG